AUACGUAGGGGGCGAGCGUUGUCCGGAAUGAUUGGGCGUAAAGGGCGCGUAGGCGGCCUGUUAAGUCUGGAGUGAAAGUCCUGUUUUCAAGAUGGGAAUUGCUUUGGAUACUGAUGGACUUGAGUGCAGGAGAGGUUAUCGGAAUUCCCGGUGUAGCGGUGAAAUGCGUAGAGAUCGGGAGGAACACCAGUGGCGAAGGCGGGUAACUGGACUGCAACUGACGCUGAGGCGCGAAAGUGUGGGGAGCAAACAGGAUUAGAUACCCUGGUAGUCCACACUGUAAACGAUGAAUGCUAGGUGUAGGAGGUAUCGACCCCUUCUGUGCCGCAGUAAACACAGUAAGCAUUCCGCCUGGGGAGUACGGUCGCAAGAUUAAAACUCAAAUGAAUUGACGGGG
rnacentral:rRNA from 1 species